AGAGUUUGAUCAUGGCUCAGAUGAACGCUGGCGGCAUGCUUAAUACAUGCAAGUCGAACGAGCCUUCGGGCUAGUGGCGGACGGGUGAGUAACGCGUGGGAAUCUGCCCUCAGGAGGGGGAUAACGGCCGGAAACGGCCGCUAAUACCCCAUAUGCCUAGAGGUGAAAUGAUUUUCGCCUGAGGAUGAGCCCGCGUCUGAUUAGCUAGUUGGUGUGGUAAUGGCGCACCAAGGAUUCGAUCAGUAGCUGGUCUGAGAGGAUGAUCAGCCACACUGGGACUGAGACACGGCCCAGACUCCUACCGGAGGCGGCAUUGGGGAAUUUUCCGCGAUGGGCGCAAGCCUGACGGACCAACGCCGCGUGAGGGACGAAGGCCUCUGGGCUGUAGACCUCUUUUCUAAAGGAAGAAGACAUGACUGUACUUGAGGAAUAAGCCACGGCUAAUUCCGUGCCAGCAGCCGCGGUAAUACGGGAGUGGCAAGCGUUAUCCGGAAUUAUUG
rnacentral:rRNA from 1 species